CCUACGGGCGGCAGCAGUGAGGAAUAUUGGUCAAUGGGCGGAAGCCUGAACCAGCCAAGUAGCGUGCGGGAUGAAGGCCCUACGGGUCGUAAACCGCUUUUGCACGGGGAUAACACCCUCCACUUGUGGAGGUCUGCAGGUACCGUGCGAAUAAGGGCCGGCUAAUUCCGUGCCAGCAGCCGCGGUAAUACGGAAGGCCCGAGCGUUAUCCGGAUUCAUUGGGCUUAAAGGGAGCGUAGGCGGGCGUUCAAGUCAGCUGUAAAAUCGCGCGGCUCAACCGCGCCCCGAAGUUGAAACUGGACGCAUUGAGUUCACAACAGGCAGGCGGAAUUCGUGGUGUAGCGGUGAAAUGCAUAGAUAUCACGAGGAACCCCGAUUGCGAAGGCAGCCUGCCGGGGUGUGACUGACGCUGAGGCUCGAAGGUGCGGGUAUCAAACAGGAUUAGAUACCCCUGUAGUC
rnacentral:rRNA from 1 species